rnacentral:lncRNA from 1 species
CUGGGCUUCCUUUCUCUAAUAUUGUUGCUGGGUGCUAAGGUUACAACAGCAAACAAGACUGACUCAUUCCUUUUCUCCGUGGGACUUACUGUCUUAUCAUCCCCUGGACUCAAUAUGAGGGUGCAGGGACGCCCUCCCACACCACCGCAGCUUACCCAGGGGCACACCUUAGGGUGUGUGGAUCUGCACAAAGGUCCCUCCUUAGCCCCGUGAGACACCCCAGGGGACCCACAGGUCCACAGAUCCUGCCACAGGCCUGGGAACCCACUGGCAGGAGAGUAAGACAGCACAGGGGUCCACAAACGUUUCUUAAAGGGCCAGAGAGUAAAUACUUCAGGCUUUGCAGGCCACGGGUUCUCUGUUGCAAAACACGAUUCUGCUAUUGUAGCUCAAAGGCGGCUGUAGACAACUCAGAAGGCAAUGAGUGUGUUGUGUC